rnacentral:rRNA from 1 species
GAUGAACGCUGGCGGCGUGCCUAACACAUGCAAGUCGAGCGAUUUACUUCGGUAAAGAGCGGCGGACGGGUGAGUAACGCGUGGGUAACCUGCCCUGUACACACGGAUAACAUACCGAAAGGUAUGCUAAUACGAGAUAAUAUGCUUUUAUCGCAUGGUAGAAGUAUCAAAGCUUUUGCGGUACAGGAUGGACCCGCGUCUGACUAGCUAGUUGGUAAGGUAACGGCUUACCAAGGCGACGAUCAGUAGCCGACCUGAGAGGGUGAUCGGCCACAUUGGAACUGAGACACGGUCCAAACUCCUACGGGAGGCAGCAGUGGGGAAUAUUGCACAAUGGGCGAAAGCCUGAUGCAGCAACGCCGCGUGAGCGAUGAAGGCCUUCGGGUCGUAAAGCUCUGUCCUCAAGGAAGAUAAUGACGGUACUUGAGGAGGAAGCCCCGGCUAACUACGUGCCAGCAGCCGCGGUAAGAC